rnacentral:rRNA from 1 species
GAUCCUGGCUCAGGAUGAACGCUAGCUACAGGCUUAACACAUGCAAGUCGAGGGGCAGCAUGAACUUAGCUUGCUAAGUUUGAUGGCGACCGGCGCACGGGUGAGUAACACGUAUCCAACCUUCCCGUUACUCUGGAGUAGCCUUUCGAAAGAAAGAUUAAUACCGGAUAGUAUCGAGAGAUCGCAUGAUUACCCGAUUAAAGAUUCAUCGGUAACGGAUGGGGAUGCGUUCCAUUAGG